rnacentral:lncRNA from 1 species
AGGACGUCGAGCACUAACUAUGGAAUAAAUUCCGAGGGACGGCAAUGAGAAUUGCUCACACUCUCUCAUGUGGGUCAGAAGAUACGGAAACCACAGAGCUGACUCAAAGGAACAAGUACAGCCGUGGAGAGAUUCUUCAGUGAGAUCGGCCAACAAGCUGUGAAAGUGGAGAAUCAACCAGAAGCACUGUGGGAAAAUAAAAGUCAAAGGGGAAACUGAGUCAUCCCUGGUAACAAUUGCAAGGAUGUAAAGUAAAUAAUCACCACGUAGAAUAAGAAUAAAAGACUUAAUUGUAGUAGCAAU